UACGGGGGGGGCAAGCGUUGUUCGGAAUUACUGGGCGUAAAGCGCGCGCAGGUGGUCUUUCAAGUCAGUGGUGAAAGCCCGGAGCUCAACUCCGGAAAUGCCAUUGAAACUGUAAGACUUGAGGAUGAGAGAGGUGAGUGGAAUUCCCAGUGUAGAGGUGAAAUUCGUAGAUAUUGGGAAGAACACCGGUGGCGAAGGCGGCUCACUGGCUCAUAUCUGACGCUCAGGCGCGACAGCGUGGGGAGCAAACAGG
rnacentral:rRNA from 1 species